rnacentral:lncRNA from 10 species
CGGAAGCAGAACAGAGUGAGCACUCCAGACGCGAAAGGGCCCGGCCCAGCCAGCUUGCGGGGACCCCCGAGACGAGGUCCCUGCCAGACUGCCAAUGUUUAUUUGAGGCUAUUUGUUUAAAUUCAACUUGAACCCCGGUUACCUCCAGCUCAGCCCUGCCCUGGGCGCUGCGAGGAAAACAAAGCCACACCACACCGUGCACAGCCGUCUUCACAUCUCUGGAAGACAUCACCGUACAGGAGCGGUGGGGAGACAGACCGAAUCCCAUAAAGUGUGACCUCCUGCCACUGCCACAGCCAGGGCAGAGUGCCCUUCGGGGCUACACAGCUCCCCCCACCACCCCAAUCAUUACAGGAGAAAGCAAAUUGUGCCUUCAGAAGCUCCCCUACCGAGUGGGCCUGUCUUAGGGAGGAAUUACUUCCUACAGCUAAUCCAGAGUUCCCGCCCCCUGCAACAAAACCCACAGCAGCUUCUCCUCCGGUAAAGCCGGGAUCUGAGCAGACAGUCACUCCUGUGGGCAGCGCUGGCUGGAAAGGACACUGGAGCAGGCCGCGCCUGGGCCUUGGAGACACGCACAGGACCCUGGAGGAGGCCACACCUGGGCCUCGGGAACGCGCACAGGACCCCGGAGGAGGCCACACCUGGGCCUCGGGAACAGGCACCAGCAGAGGCAGGACUGGAAAGGACAGGAGAGGCUGGGCCCACAUUUAAUCUCUGUUCCCUCUCCCUCCACAGUGGUGCCUUUAUUUCUAGAAGCAACGAAGGAAACACAGUAGACUCAGAGCCAGAAGAGGAAGAGGAGGCCAGCUCCCACUGCUGCAGCACUCAGCUGGGGUCAGCGGGGCUGUGGCGUUGCACCACUCCAUGAAGGGCCUGGUGUCCCUUGACUUGGACACCCUCGACCCUGCCAGGCUCGGCCCCACAGCCUUGCUCAAUCCCCUCAGCACCCUCGUCUCCAGCAGACGGGUAUCCUGGACAUGUCUCACCUGAUUUGACACAAGACCACCAAGACAAGGGGCAGGUGGGUGCAGUGGCUCACAUCUAUAAUCCCAGCACUUUGGGAGGCUGAAGCAGGAAGAUUGCUUGAGCCCAGGGGUUGGAGAUCACCCUGGGCAACAUGGUAAAACCCGUCUCUACAAAAAAUACAAAAAUUAGC